AGAGUUUGAUCCUGGCUCAGGAUGAACGCUAGCUACAGGCUUAACACAUGCAAGUCGAGGGGCAGCGGGAUUGAAGCUUGCUUCAAUUGCCGGCGACCGGCGCACGGGUGAGUAACGCGUAUCCAACCUUCCGUACACUCAGGGAUAGCCUUUCGAAAGAAAGAUUAAUACCUGAUGGUAUGAUGAGAUUGCAUGAUAGCAUCAUUAAAGAUUUAUCGGUGUACGAUGGGGAUGCGUUCCAUUAGGUAGUAGGCGGGGUAACGACCCACCUAGCCAACGAUGGAUAGGGGUUCUGAGAGGAAGGUCCCCCACAUUGGAACUGAGACACGGUCCAAACUCCUACGGGAGGCAGCAGUGAGGAAUAUUGGUCAAUGGACGAGAGUCUGAACCAGCCAAGUAGCGUGAAGGAUGAAGGUCCUACGGAUUGUAAACUUCUUUUAUAAGGGAAUAAACCCUCCCACGUGUGGGAGCUUGUAUGUACCUUAUGAAUAAGCAUCGGCUAACUCCGUGCCAGCAGCCGCGGUAAUACGGAGGAUGCGAGCGUUAUCCGGAUUUAUUGGGUUUAAAGGGAGCGCAGACGGGUCGUUAAGUCAGCUGUGAAAGUUUGGGGCUCAACCUUAAAAUUGCAGUUGAUACUGGCGUCCUUGAGUGCGGUUGAGGUGUGCGGAAUUCGUGGUGUAGCGGUGAAAUGCUUAGAUAUCACGAAGAACUCCGAUUGCGAAGGCAGCACACUAAUCCGUAACUGACGUUCAUGCUCGAAAGUGUGGGUAUCAAACAGGAUUAGAUACCCUGGUAGUCCACACGGUAAACGAUGGAUACUCGCUGUUGGCGAUAUACUGUCAGCGGCUUAGCGAAAGCGUUAAGUAUCCCACCUGGGGAGUACGCCGGCAACGGUGAAACUCAAAUGAAUUGAC
rnacentral:rRNA from 1 species